CAUGUGGUACUGGCGGCCGGAACUGAGGCCUCAGAGGUAGAAGCAAUGAAACCCAGACCUGCAGUGUGCGUGGAUAAUAAGCUCAAGCAGCGAAUCAUCCAGUACCUCACCAGUAAUAGAUGUGGCAAAUAUGUGGACACUGGAAUCUUAGCAUCUGAUUUGCAAAGAAUGUACAGUAUAGACUAUGGUCGAAGAAAAAGAAAUGCUUUUAGGAUUCAGGUAGAAAAAGUAUUUAGCAUAAUUAGUAGUGAGAAGGAAGUGAAGAAUCUGGCGGAAUUAGAAGAUGAACAUCUGGCAAAAAGAGCAAGGCAAGGUGAAGAGGAUAAUGAGUACUCUGAAAGCUCUUCUGAGGAUGAUUCACUUGCGGAAGAUCACCCAGAUCCACGGUCAGCAAAUCACAUGAACAGUUCGCUGCUCUCUUUAUAUCGGAAAGGAAAUUCUGAUUCUGUUUCACAUACUCCAGAGGUGGAGCAAAGAGAAACUACUGCUUCAGCACCACGACUAACUAAAACAGACUCCAUUCCUUUGAAGACCCCUGCAAGAGAAUCUGAGGGAGGAUGGUUUAUUGAUACAACCCCAGAUGGAAAAAGAGACAAUUUUUUCUUAGACCUAUCAGAUAAGAAAAGUAACCAUAAGAAGCCAGUAUCUGACAUCCAGGAUUCAAAAGAUUUUUCUUUUCUGGAGCGUGAUAAUAAAGGGAAGGGCAAGCUAAAAGGCAAAGGAAACAAAAGAAAGAAGGAAGAUCUUCAGGAAGUAGAUGGAGAAAUAGAAGCUGUCCUGCAAAAGAAAGCCAAAGCCAGGGGACUAGACUUGCAGGUAUCCAGUGUGAAGUUUGAAGAUGUUGGAGGCAAUGAUACUACAUUAAAAGAGGUCUGCAAGAUGCUUAUUCACAUGCGCCACCCAGAAGUGUACCACCACCUGGGCGUUGUGCCCCCACGUGGAGUUCUUCUUCAUGGACCACCAGGCUGUGGGAAGACAUUGCUUGCACAUGCAAUUGCUGGGGAACUUGACCUGCCAAUUUUGAAAGUAGCUGCUCCAGAGAUUGUGUCAGGAGUUUCUGGGGAGUCCGAGCAGAAACUCAGAGAUUUAUUUGAACAAGCUGUGUCAAAUGCACCCUGUAUUGUUUUCAUCGAUGAAAUUGAUGCUAUUACCCCUAAAAGAGAAGUUGCUUCAAAAGAUAUGGAACGAAGAAUUGUAGCCCAGCUCCUAACCUGCAUGGAUGAUUUGAAUAACAUGGCUGCUACAGCUCAGGUCCUGGUCAUUGGAGCUACUAAUCGACCAGACGCAUUAGAUCCUGCUUUGAGACGUGCAGGAAGAUUUGACCGAGAAAUAUGCCUAGGUAUCCCCGAUGAAGUAUCCAGGGAAAGGAUACUUCAGACUUUGUGCCGAAAACUGAGACUUCCUGAGACUUUUAAUUUUUGUCACUUAGCACACCUGACUCCAGGCUUUGUUGGUGCUGAUUUGAUGGCACUCUGCCGAGAGGCAGCUAUGUGUGCAGUCAAUAGGGUCUUGAUGAAGGUACAUGAGCAGCAGAAGAAAGAUCCUGAGAUUCAGUGUUUGUCACCUGAAGGAGGCCAGGAAGAAAGACUGGGAACUGAACCCACAUCUGAAACUCAGGAUGAAUUGCAAAGGCUGCUGGGGUUGCUAAGAGACCAAGAUCCCCUUUCAGAGGAGCAGAUGCAAGAACUACGCAUUGAAUUGAAUGAUUUCAUUGUGGCUCUAGCCUCAGUCCAACCUUCUGCCAAAAGGGAAGGCUUUGCCACUGUCCCAAAUGUGACAUGGGCAGAUAUCGGUGCCCUGGAAGAUAUUAGAGAAGAACUCACGAUGGCAAUAUUGGCACCAGUACGUAACCCAGACCAGUUCAAAGCUCUUGGACUGGUGACUCCAGCAGGAGUCCUCCUUGCUGGUCCUCCUGGCUGUGGAAAAACUCUUUUGGCAAAGGCUGUGGCAAAUGAGUCUGGACUAAAUUUUAUAUCAGUCAAGGGCCCUGAGUUACUAAAUAUGUAUGUUGGUGAGAGUGAACGUGCUGUAAGGCAAGUUUUUCAGCGUGCUAAGAACUCUGCACCCUGUGUGAUAUUCUUUGAUGAAGUGGAUGCUUUAUGUCCUCGAAGAUCAGAGCAAGAGACAGGUGCAAGUGUUCGGGUGGUGAAUCAGCUUCUUACAGAGAUGGAUGGUCUGGAAACACGUCAGCAGGUUUUUAUUAUGGCAGCCACUAACAGGCCUGAUAUCAUCGACCCUGCCAUUCUGCGCCCAGGUCGGCUGGACAAAACACUCUUUGUGGGUUUGCCACCCCCGGCAGACCGUCUUGCCAUCUUAAAAACUAUCACCAAAAAUGGCACCAAACCUCCCCUGGAUGCAGAUGUAAAUUUGGAAGCAAUUGCUGGUGACCUUCGCUGUGAUUGCUACACGGGUGCAGACCUCUCUGCUUUGGUACGAGAAGCUUCUCUUUGUGCCCUGAGACAGGAAAUGGCAAGACAGAAGAGUGGAAAUGGAAAAGGUGAGCUCAAGAUUAAUCAGAAACACUUUGAAGAAGCUUUCAAGAAAGUGAAACCAUCUAUAUCAGUAAAGGAUCAAAUGAUGUAUGAAGCUCUGCAUCGCUCCCUCAGCCAGUGACAUACUCAGCAGCUGCUUGGAGGAGUCCAUCCAUCAAGCCAACAGAGCAGACCACCUGCUCUCAAGUGUCCAUUUUUAGUUUGACCCAGAUGUGGUCUCAUGCAGCAAAACCUGCUCUUCCACUUUGGCUGAUCCUGAGCCUGUUACAGUAAUGCCUAGGUGACUAACUCAUGUGGCAGUCUGCCACCAUCCUUCAUCAGCCCCUCACUGGGACCCACCGGAGCCAAGACCUUGAAUACUGGGCAGACAGUGGCAACGUCCCAGCAUGGGGACCUCUCCAGUACAGUGAGGAGGACAGAGCCCUAGUUACAGACCACCACUCAGGCCUGUGACAGGCUUGAAAGGAAGGUCAGGGAGCUGCACUCACCCA